CUGAGAGUUUGAUCCUGGCUCAGAGCGAACGCUGGCGGCAGGCCUAACACAUGCAAGUCGAACGGACUCUUCGGAGUUAGUGGCGGACGGGUGAGUAACACGUGGGAACGUGCCUUUAGGUUCGGAAUAAGCCCGGGAAACUGGGUCUAAUACCGAAUGUGCCCUUCGGGGGAAAGAUUUAUCGCCAUUAGAGCGGCCCGCGUCUGAUUAGCUAGUUGGUGAGGUAAAGGCUCACCAAGGCGACGAUCAGUAGCUGGUCUGAGAGGACGACCAGCCACACUGGAACUGAGACACGGUCCAGACUCCUACG
rnacentral:rRNA from 1 species